UACGUAGGGGGCAAGCGUUGUCCGGAUUUAUUGGGCGUAAAGAGCGUGUAGGCGGCCAGGUAGGUCAGCUGUGAAACUCGAGGCUCAACCUCGAGACGCCGGUUGAAACCAUCUGGCUAGAGUCCGGAAGAGGAGAGUGGAAUUCCUGGUGUAGCGGUGAAAUGCGUAGAUAUCUGGAGGAACACCCGUGGUGCAGACGGCUUGCUGGACCGUGACUGACGCUGAGGCACGAAAGCGUGGGU
rnacentral:rRNA from 1 species